UACGGAGGGUGCAAGCGUUAUCCGGAUUCACUGGGUGUAAAGGGUGCGCAGGCGGACUGAUAAGUCAGUGGUGAAAUCUCGUCGCUUAACGACGAAACUGCCUUUGAUACUAUCAGUCUUGAAUCCGGUAGAGAUCUGUGGAAUUCCGAGUGUAGCAGUGAAAUGUGUAGAUAUUCGGAAGAACACCAGUGGCGAAGGCAGCAGAUUGGGCCGGUAUUGACGCUCAGGCACGAAAGCAUGGGGAUCAAACAGG
rnacentral:rRNA from 1 species